rnacentral:tRNA from 1 species
GCGGUCGUGGCGAAAUAGGCGAUACGCGCGGGUUUUAGGUGCCCGUGGGAGCAAUCCCGUGUGGGUUCGAGUCCCACCGACCGCACCA